rnacentral:rRNA from 1 species
CAGCAGCCGCGGUAAUACGAAGGGCGCGAGCGUUACCCGGAUUUACUGGGCGUAAAGGGCGUGUAGGCGGCCUGGGGCGUCCCAUGUGAAAGGCCACGGCUCAACCGUGGAGGAGCGUGGGAUACGCUCAGGCUAGAGGGUGGGAGAGGGUGGCGGAAUUCCCGGAGUAGCGGUGAAAUGCGCAGAUACCGGGAGGAACGCCGAUGGCGAAGGCAGCCACCUGGUCCACUUCUGACGCUGAGGCGCGAAAGCGUGGGGAGCAAACCGGAUUAGAUACCCGCGUAGUCCCUGUCUCUUAUAC